UGAGUAACGCGUGGGAACAUACCCUUUUCUACGGAAUAGCUCUGGGAAACUGGAAUUAAUACCGUAUACGCCCUACGGGGGAAAGAUUUAUCGGGGAAGGAUUGGCCCGCGUUGGAUUAGCUAGUUGGUGGGGUAAAGGCCUACCAAGGCGACGAUCCAUAGCUGGUCUGAGAGGAUGAUCAGCCACAUUGGGACUGAGACACGGCCCAAACUCCUACGGGAGGCAGCAGUGGGGAAUAUUGGACAAUGGGCGCAAGCCUGAUCCAGCCAUGCCGCGUGAGUGAUGAAGGCCUUAGGGUUGUAAAGCUCUUUCACCGAUGAAGAUAAUGACGGUAGUCGGAGAAGAAGCCCCGGCUAACUUCGUGCCAGCAGCCGCGGUAAUACGAAGGGGGCUAGCGUUGUUCGGAAUUACUGGGCGUAAAGCGCACGUAGGCGGAUAUUUAAGUCAGGGGUGAAAUCCCAGAG
rnacentral:rRNA from 1 species